rnacentral:tRNA from 1 species
GGGCUCAUGGUCCAAAGGGAAGACACCGCUAUGGCAUGGCGGCCAGUCUUCAAUUUGAACAGGGCGGGUUCGAUUCCCGGUGAGUCCA